GAUGAACGCUGGCGGCGUGCCUAACACAUGCAAGUCGAACGGAGCUGCUUUGAUGAGAUCUUCGGAUGGAUUUAAAACAGCUUAGUGGCGGACGGGUGAGUAACGCGUGGGUAACCUGCCUCACACUGGGGGAUAACAGUUAGAAAUAGCUGCUAAUACCGCAUAAGCGCACGGUUCCGCAUGGAACAGUGUGAAAAACUCCGGUGGUGUGAGAUGGACCCGCGUCUGAUUAGCCAGUUGGCGGGGUAACGGCCCACCAAAGCGACGAUCAGUAGCCGGCCUGAGAGGGUGAACGGCCACAUUGGGACUGAGACACGGCCCAAACUCCUACGGGAGGCAGCAGUGGGGAAUAUUUGCACAAUGGGGGAAACCCUGAUGCAGCGACGCCGCGUGAGUGAAGAAGUAUUUCGGUAUGUAAAGCUCUAUCAGCAGGGAAGAAAGUGACGGUACCUGAAUAAGAAGCCCCGGCUAACUACGUGCCAGCAGCCGCGGUAAUACGUAGGGGGCAAGCGUUAUCCGGAUUUACUGGGUGUAAAGGGAGCGUAGACGGCAAGGCAAGUCUGAAGUGAAAGCCCGGUGCUUAACGCCGGGACUGCUUUGGAAACUGUUUAGCUGGAGUGCCGGAGAGGUAAGCGGAAUUCCUAGUGUAGCGGUGAAAUGCGUAGAUAUUAGGAAGAACACCAGUGGCGAAGGCGGCUUACUGGACGGUAACUGACGUUGAGGCUCGAAAGCGUGGGGAGCAAACAA
rnacentral:rRNA from 1 species